GGGGCAAAAUGAAUAAGAAAUAAAUACCCAGGUUUCGGUUGGUAUAAAAGUGGAGAUCCUAAAAUGAAGCCGGCAGUCUUUAGAUCACUUUUGUCCUGGUAGAUCUGUUCCUCUUUCCGCAUCUACUAACAUGGCGAAGUACACGCUGUUCCUUGUAUUGGUGUUAGUGAUUGUAACAAUGGCUGCUGCAAUGCCAGUUAUCGAAAGGGUUAAACGAUCUCCGGAUCCGAGCCAUAAGCACAAGUACUAUGGUGGCGGAGGCUAUUACGGAG